UCUCUUGUUCUCUUUGUUUUCAUUCACUAGUUGCUAGGAUUUUCUGAGGAUCUCCAGGAAGUUGCUUCCUCUGAUCUCUCUAUGUAUUUGUAACUGAAGUUUUACAAUAUAAGAAAACAUAUUUGGAAUGUGCCCUUGUUUACAGGUUGGGAUUUGCAACAUCUUGCUAUUAGAGAGGUGGUUCUGCUUGUGGGAUUAGAGCUGAAAUCAUGGAGAUAAGAGCUUAAGAGUUGUGGAGAAUUUGUGAAAUUUCUUUAAGGAACAAGCUAACAAGAAAGAUGUGAAGCAUGAAAAAGUUAUAUAGGAUCUUAAGGAUCAACAAAGCAAGGAGGAGGCAUGCUAAACAACAAGGAUCAGAAGAUGUGCAAGAGGAGGGCAGUGACUUGGAAGGUAUUCUUCUUAACUUGGGAAAAGACAAUAAUAAGAAGCAUGGUGAAGAAGAUAGUGAUAUACAUAACUCUGAGUGGAGUUUUAGCCUUGAAUCAGAUGUGGAAGCUAUAGACACCAAUGCAGUGCAUAGGAAGAUAGUGCUUGUUGUUGGAGAACUUCCAAACUUGAGGGAUGAUGCUGGAAUGGAUUCAGAUUAUGCAGGAUUAGAGAAAUUAUAGUCAUGCUCAUCCAUUGAUGAGGAUGAAUUUUUCUCCAAUAGGGCAAGGUAUUAUGAAUUCAAUGAAGAAUGUGACAAGAGGAAUCCCCACUUUGAAAUUGGGAUGAAGUUCAGGAGCUUCAAGCAGUUCAAGGAUGCAGUAAAGAACUAUGGAAUUAAACACAUAUACAUAAUGAACUUCAAGCCAAAUGAUAAAGAUAUGUGUAAGGCAUUCUACAAAAGAGGUUGCCCUUUUUACUUGUGGGCAUCACCCAUGGUCAAGGAUAGGUCCACUAUGCAGAUAAAAUCAAGGAAUAUCAGACAUGUCAAUGCAUAGUGGAUAGCAAAAGCCUAUUUCAAAUAAUUCAGUGCAGAUCCAUCUUAGAAGAUAGCAGAUAUCAUCCAAGCAUUGAAGACAAAUCAGGAGGUUGAUAUAAGUAGGUUAAAGAAUACAAGGCUAAGUGCAUUGCACUGAGGUUAGUGUUAUGUUCCCAUUUUUUUUUUCUUUGGCAAUUUUAAUUUUGUUGGCCUUCAUUAUGAAUUUUGUUGAUAAUGUUGUGUUCCUUUCAUGACUGUUAGGCUUGUAGAUGGUGAUGAAGAGGGUUAGAUGGUUGGUUUAUAUAACAUUUUUUUUUCUUUGGCAAUUUUUAUUCUAUUAGCCUUCAUUAUGAAUUUUGUUGAUAAUGUUGUGUUCCUUUCAUGACUCUUAGGCUUAUUGAUGGUGAUAAAGAGAGUUAGAUGGCUGGUUUAUAUAAUUACAUGCUAGAGUUGUUGAGGACACACCCAGGUUCAAGCAUAAAAUGCAAGACUCAUGCAGGGGUAUUCCAAUCAAUGUAUGUUUGCUUGGUUGGCCCCCCUCAGAGAAGGUUUCCUGGCAGUUGCAGGAAGGUCAUUAGUGUUGAUGAAUGCUUUCUAAAGGACUUUUAUGGAGGCCAGCUACUGACAACAGUUGGGGUAGAUGCAAAUGACUAUAGCUACGCCAUUGCUUGGCAACUAUGAGCAGAUUAACCAAGGAAACCUGGAAAUGGUUCUAGGAAUUACUAGCAGAGCACUUAUAAAUGAGAAAUAGCAAUAAUUAGGCCUUCAUGAGUGAUAGGCAGAAGAUUAUUUUCUGAUUCCUUCAACUUUUUUUAACUGCCUUGAUUUGAACAUGAUGAAUGUUUUGAUCACAUAUUUUGUUGUGCAUGUAUCAUUAAAAUCACAUCUGAAUUAUUAUUUUGUUGUGCAUGUUUCAUUUAAAUCACCUUUGAACUUAUAUGAAUGAUACCUUCUUCACCCCAUUGCCUUCUUUUUCCAUGUGUGUCUAUGGGUGUUCUUCACAAUUAGGGACUUAUUCCUGCAAUCUCAAAACUUUUCCCAAAUAGUGAACACAGGUAUUGUGUUAGGCACAUCUAUAGUAACUUUAGUAAAAACCUAUAGAGGUAAAACUCUUAAAGACCUACUUUGGACUUGUGCCACAGCAACAAGCCUAGCUGCAUUUGAGAAAUCCAUGGACAAUCUGAAAAACAUGUCUCUUGGUGUCUCUCAAUACAUGAAAAACAUUGGCCCAACACAUUUCAGUCACAACUCAAGUGUGACAUAUUCUUGAAUAACAUGUGUGAAUGCUUUAGUGGCCAUAAUUUGGAUUCUAGGAUUAACAGUAUUGUGACAAUUAAUGAAAUGAUAAGGACCCACCUUAUGAUAAGGAUACUGAAAAGAAGAGAUGCAAUGAACAAAAUUACAUCCACACACUACCCUAGGAUAAUUCAAAAGAUGCAAAAGUUAAAGGAAUAAAGUUUCCAUUACAAAACAACAUGGUCAGGUGGUGCCCAGUAUCAGGUUACAAGACUUGAUGGUCAAUACGUUGUUGAUAAAGUAAAGUCUAGAUGUUCUUGUAGAAGAUGAUAGCUGUAUGGUAUCCCUUGUAGCCAUGCAAUUUCAGUUAUAUAUUACAACAAUGAAAAACCCUAAGAACUAUCUAGAUAGUUGCUACAAGGUCAGCACCUACAUGGACACCUACAGACACACUUUGAACCCAACCCAUGACAGGGAUUCUUGGCCCAAAUCUAAUAAAUGACCUAUAAUUCCUCCACAGCCUGUCAACAGAAAAGAGGUAGGAAGGUUGUACUAAGAAGAAGAGAGUUAGGUGAAGAAAGAAGAGGGUACACAAAUGAGAAGAUUAGCAAGAAAGGGGUGGCAAUCAAAUGUAGCAUUUGUGGAGCUAGAUAAUGCUGGAAUAUUGUGUAGUAUUACUUCAGGUAUGACAAUGUGUUAAUGCCAGGAGAGAAAUGAAGCAAGUCUGUCCCAAAAUGCAGUACAAAGUGAAGAAUGGCAAGAAGACCCAAUGGACAAUAUUGACUCAUAAGUUUUGGAUGAGCACUUCACCAUGGUUGCCAAUUUGAUUGGAGGUGAUCAACAUCACCCAAGUGCAAACCAACCCCCAAGCUCUCAAGACCCCAUGUCACAGCUCAACAAGGAUAACCUACCAGGGGACACUCCUGCAGAACGGACUAGGCUUCCAAGAUAGAAAAUGCAUAUUAAGGGAGGCAAAAACAUUAAUUGACACAUGAAGCAAAUCGAGAGUACAAGUGAUGCUACAAAGAAAAGGAAAGCUUGGGUCCCAUAAAGGAAUACAUGUGGUCUUCUGCCAAGGAGGAGAUGGUCAAGUCAUGUUUGGUGUUUUUGGUUUAUGAAUACUUUUUGGUAUGUUGGACAACAUAGCCACUUGUUUUAAUGUUGGCAACUGCAGUUGCCAAAUUUUUGUAUACUACCGCAACAAUGUGAAUGUUUGAUAGUCAUUUCAAUGAUCAAG